UACGGAGGGAGCUAGCGUUGUUCGGAAUUACUGGGCGUAAAGCGCGUGUAGGCGGCUUGGUAAGUCUGCUCUGAAAGCCCGGGGCUCAACCCCGGGAGGCGGGUGGAUACUGUCAAGCUCGAGUCCGGAAGAGGAGAGUGGAAUUCCUGGUGUAGCGGUGAAAUGCGCAGAUAUCAGGAAGAACACCCGUGGCGAAGGCGGCUCUCUGGGAUGGUACUGACGCUGAGACGCGAAAGCGUGGGGAGCGAACAGG
rnacentral:rRNA from 1 species